rnacentral:rRNA from 1 species
AGAAUCCCGUAUGUGACUGGUUGCCUGCGCUCAUGUGAAGCUCCUUCGACGAGUCGAGUUGUUUGGGAAUGCAGCUCUAAAUGGGUGGUGUACUUCAUCUAAAGCUAAAUAUUGGCCAGAGACCGAUAGCGCACAAGUAGAGUGAUCGAAAGAUGAAAAGCACUUUGGAAAGAGAGUUAAACAGUACGUGAAAUUGUUGAAAGGGAAGCGCUUGCAAUCAGACUUGCGCGGCGCCGAUCAGCCUGGGUUCUCCCUGGUGCACUCGGUGCCGCUCAGGCCAGCAUCAGUUUCGGCGGUUGGAUAAAGGCUCAGGGAACGUGGGACGCCUCGGCGUCCGUUAUAGCCCUGGGUGCAAUGCAGCCUGCUGGGACUGAGGACCGCGCUUCGGCUAGGAUGCUGGCGUAAUGGUUGUAAGCGACCCGUCUUGAAACACGGACCAAGGAGUCUAACAUCUAUGCGAGUAUUUGGGUAUUAAACCCAUAUGCGUAAUGAAAGUGAACGGAGGUGAGAACCCUUAAGGGUGCAUCAUCGACCGAUCCUGAUGUCUUCGGAUGGAUUUGAGUAAGAGCAUAGCUGUUGGGACCCGAAAGAUGGUGAACUAUGCUUGGAUAGGGUGAAGCCAGAGGAAACUCUGGUGGAGGCUCGCAGAGGUUCUGACGUAAACCGGUCGGUUUGUGCGUCAAACAGCAGGCUGCCGAGUCUGCUAGUAGGCGCGUUACAGCGCUUGCGACACUGUCAAACUGCUGGAAACCCGGUGUCGACUUCAAAAGUUGACGCUGGAGAUCUGCAGCGAAUGAGAGCCUCUACAGGGCAUCUCUUGCGUUCAGAGACUAGAUGACAGU